rnacentral:misc_RNA from 1 species
GAAAUGCGAUAAGUAAUGUGAAUUGCAGAAUUCAGUGAAUCAUCGAAUCUUUGAACGCACAUUGCGCCCGCCAGAAUUCUGGCGGGCAUGCCUGUUCGAGCGUCAUUUCAACCCUCGAGCUCCCCUUUCGGGGGGAGCCCGGCGUUGGGGACCCGGCGCUAACAACGCCGGACCCGAAAUGGAGUGGCGGCCCGUCCGCGGUGACCUCUGCGUAGUAACAACCACUCGCACCGGGACCCGGGCGCGGCCACGCCGUAAAACACCCCACCUUCCGAAUGUUGACCUCGAAUCAGGUAGGAAUACCCGCUGAACUUAAGC